GCAUCGACCAAACCCAUUUCCAUCUGAUGCGUGCACGCACACGAAUCCGAUCGAGGGGAGACUAGAUCCGGACGUUCAUACAAGAAGAGCAACGACGGCAGAGGCGAUGAUUCGGUGCAGUGAAAGUGAACACACACUCGCAGAGAUCCAAGGAGGUAAGUGCGUGCGGCCCCAUCGAUUUGAUACAGAAUUAUUGAACACAAGUUACACAGCCAGGCAGUGUGUCCACUUCGUACACCACCGUCGUCCUCCACCUCCCGUCCACCCCACACGAUCCGCAGGCUCGAUUAGCAACCGGCAGCGAGCUAGCUAGCCUAGCAGCGAUCCGGGGUCGGCGGCAGCCAAACAUGAGCGGCAACGACUAACAAACCAUCAUGGGGGCUCGCUCCGACGCACCGGCGCACGCGCUGUGCGUCAGUCGGCACCGUAGGAGCCGGCAGCGGCGGAGCCGCCGCCGUUGCCGUCGUCGCUGCUGCCGCCGCCGCUGCCGUCGCCGCCGCCGCCGCCGCCGCCGCCGCCGCCGCCGUCGAUCCAGUCCUUGAUGAUCUGCUUCUUGACCGCUCCCCUCCUGGGGUACGGGUUCCCGUGGGGCUUCGUCUUCUUCUUGCUGUCGCCGUCCUGCCCGUCCAUGGCGAGCUGAGACCUGAUGAGAGUGGUUUCGCGUGGAGUGACGGCGCGAGUGAUAUGUGGAGCGAGG
rnacentral:lncRNA from 1 species